ACCUGCUGCGGCGUCUUCUCCAUUCAGAGUGCCGGGAAGCUAGCCGACAGCUGUGGACAGUGCUUCCUACUGGGCCUACGUGGCUGCCGUCGUGACUCAAUAAAUAGAGGAACUGGCCAGGUGUUUCUAUUUGGAACCAAUCGAUGGCGAGCUUGAACCUACAACUAGGGCUACUGUGUCCACCUAAGAAGCAGAAAACUACUGGUCUGGUAGGAAGGCUGCCACACAGCCUGUCCCCCACACACUCCAUGAACCCUGGUGCAUCAUCCCACUCACUCUUUCUCCUAGCUAUAACCCUUGAACAUUCUAUACAACCUCUCGACAAACCCUCAUGGAUCGUUGCAUCAGUUCUGGGACUGUAUAUUUUCUGUUGUGUGACACACAAGUUUUGUUGUUCAAUUCCAAUUUAACCAAAACAUUUGGAAGUGCACUUAUCAACCAAUCUCUUACUGCACCUGUAAAUAUUUUGGGGUUUUCUAUUUUUUUCCCCUUUAUUUCUGUUGUAACUAUUUAGUUCUACACUCUUUACAAUACAUGGUAUCUGCACCAAACUUAAUUUUCUGUUUGUGUAGUUAUUACUGAAUACCAGCUUCUGUAGCCAAAUUUAGAUGUUCUGUUCUACACUAGCCCAUGUUUUUUAUCCUUAUUAGUCUCCUAAUUUAUCCUAUCCUAUUAGUGCUAAUAACACACUAAUAUAUAUUAAGGUGUCCCAAAUACCCGCUACACAAAGGUGCAUCAACAAAGUACUGAGCAAAGGCUGUGAAAACAUACUGUAUGUACAAGUG